rnacentral:rRNA from 1 species
UACAGAGGUGGCGAGCGUUGUUCGGAUUUACUGGGCGUAAAGGGCGCGUAGGUGGUUUCGUGUGUCGGAUGUGAAAUCUCACUGCUCAACGGUGAAACUGCAUUCGAAACUGCGGGACUAGAGUACAGGAGAGGAGAGCGGAAUUCUUGGUGUAGCAGUGAAAUGCGUUGAUAUCAAGAAGAACACCGGUGGCGAAGGCGGCUCUCUGGAAUGCUACUGACACUGAGGCACGAAAGUUGGGGGAGCAAACAGG